rnacentral:rRNA from 1 species
GAUGAACGCUAGCUACAGGCUUAACACAUGCAAGUCGAGGGGAAACGAUAUUGGGAGCUUGCUUCCGAUAGGCGUCGACCGGCGCACGGGUGAGUAACGCGUAUCCAACCUGCCCAUCACUUGGGGAUAACCUUGCGAAAGUAAGACUAAUACCCAAUGACGUCUCUAGAAGACAUCUGAAAGAGAUUAAAGAUUUAUCGGUGAUGGAUGGGGAUGCGUCUGAUUAGCUUGUUGGCGGGGUAACGGCCCACCAAGGCGACGAUCAGUAGGGGUUCUGAGAGGAAGGUCCCCCANAUUGGAACUGAGACACGGUCCAAAACUCCUACGGGAGGCAGCAGUGAGGAAUAUUGGUCAAUGGACGAGAGUCUGAACCAGCCAAGUAGCGUGCAGGAUGACGGCCCUAUGGGUUGUAAACUGCUUUUAUAAGGGAAUAAAGUGGGAGUCGUGACUCUUUUUGCAUGUACCUUAUGAAUAAGGACCGGCUAAUUCCGUGCCAGCAGCCG